rnacentral:misc_RNA from 1 species
GAUCAUUAUUGAAUUUUGAAGAGACUGUUGCUGAUCCUCUAAAAGGGGGGGAUAUGUGCACGUCUCUACUCAAUCCUUUUACCCCUGUGCACAUUCUGUAGACCGGAAUUAACUUUCUGGUCUAUGUUUUUUUUCUUAUACACACAAAUGUUCAAUAGAAUGCUAAUUGGAAUAAACUAUAAAACAACUUUUAACAACGGAUCUCUUGGCUCUCGCAUCGAUGAAGAACGCAGCGAAAUGCGAUAAGUAAUGUGAAUUGCAGAAUUCAGUGAAUCAUCGAAUCUUUGAACGCACCUUGCGCUCCUUGGUAUUCCGAGGAGCAUGCCUGUUUGAGUGUCAUUAAAUUCUCAAUCUCAUUUUAAUUGAUGAGACUUGGAUGUUGGGGGUGUGCCGGCGCAAGUUGGCUCCCUUUAAUUGCAUUAGCGUGUGUCCGUUGCGGAUAGGCUUUGAUUUGAUAAUUAUCUAUGUCAUCGCUCUGAAGCAUGUUGCCGCUUCAAAUGGUCCAUCUGGACAACUUUUGACAAUUUGACCUCAAAUCAGGUAGGACUACCCGCUGAACUUAAGCAUAUCAAUAAGCGGAGGAAAAGAAACUAACAAGGAUUCCCCUAGUAACUGCGAGUGAAGCGGGAAAAGCUCAAAUUUAAAAUCUGGUAGUCUAUGGCUGCCCGAGUUGUAAUCUAGAGAAGUGUUUUCCGUGCCGGACCGUGUACAAGUCUCUUGGAAUAGAGCGUCAUAGAGGGUGAGAAUCCCGUCUUUGACACGGACUACCGGUGCUUCUGUGAUGCACUCUCAACGAGUCGAGUUGUUUGGGAAUGCAGCUCAAAAUGGGUGGUAAAUUCCAUCUAAAGCUAAAUAUUGGCGAGAGACCGAUAGCGAACAAGUACCGUGAGGGAAAGAUGAAAAGAACUUUGGAAAGAGAGUUAAACAGUACGUGAAAUUGUUAAAAGGGAAACGCUUGAAGUCAGUCGCGUUGUCCAGAGAUCAACCUAACUUUUGUUGGGUGCACUUUCUGGUUAAUGGGUCAGCAUCAAUUUUGAUUGUUGGAUAAAGUCCAAGGGAAUGUGGCAUCUUCGGAUGUGUUAUAGCCCUCGGUCGUAUACAACAGUUGGGAUUGAGGAACUCAGCAUGCCGCAAGGCCGGGGUUUUACCCACGUACGUGCUUAGGAUGCUGGCAUAAUGGCUUUAAUCGACCCGUCUU